AUCUGGUCUUGCUGGGCCAUCGCUCUAGAACCUGCUCAGUAAUUAGCACUUGUUUGAGUCAAUUAUUGCCCGAAGUGGAACGUCAGCCUCGGGAGCCAAUCUGCAAGAAUGGGACAGGUGGCAUGGCAUCCUAAGAGAAGACAGCCUCUGCUGAGGCCUUGGGCAAGGGCAGCACAGACUACGGGGUGGUGCAAGAGGGGAGAAUGAGAGAUGUAGGAGGAGCUCAAGUGCUGGCAACAGGCAAGCCCCCUGGGGCUGAAAUUGAUUUCAGGUACGCCCUCAUCGGGACUGCUGUGGGUGUCGCCAUAUCUCUUGGCUUCCUGGCCCUGAAGAUCUGCAUGAUCAGGAGGCACUUAUUUGAUGAUGACUCUUGCGACCUGAAAAGCACGCCUGGGGUCCUCAAUGGUGAGGGAUGUGGUGCUCGGACCUGGCUCUGCCCCACCCAGUGAGGCACCGAGGGCCACUCUGUGAUGCUGGCUACAGCAAGAAUGAACCCACAAGCGCAGAGCCCAACAGGCUGUAAAGGAAGGCAGUGACCUCUCCGUGUUUCUGUCUCUCUCACUAUCUCUUUGCCUCUGUUUCUCUUUCUUCUGUCUCUAUCUCUCUCUGUCUCUCUAUUUGUCUUCCUUUUUCUGUCUCUCUUUCCAUCUCUCUGUCUUUCUGUGUCUCUUUCCCUCUGUACUUUUCCUUUCAGUUGCUCUUGGCAGUCCUGAGAAUCACAUUUCCUGGAGAAAAGUGGGAGAGGAACUAAAAUUGGCUUCACACAGAAAUUUCUGUUCUCUCAUCCAAAUGAUGAGAUCAAAUAAACCCAGUCCCAGUAGGCAUCAAAACACCAUCCCGCUAAAGAAGAGAGCCCCAAGGCGAAACCACAAUUUCUCCAAAAGAGAUGCACAGGUGAUUGAGCUGUAGGUGAGCAGUGACGUGAAGAGGGGUUCUAGCCCUGUGGAAAACGGCCCACGGUUAACGUCUCCGGAUGUUCUGCAUUCAAACACCCAAGGCUUGUAAUGAACUUUCACAUGGACUGAAUAUUGGAGGCAAAUAAUAGAAGGAAUAGAAUAUACAGUGCCUCUGUCCUGAAGGAAAAUAUCAUGCCUCUUCUGGAAGAAGCGGACUGCAUAGAGGAAGGAUUGAGCAAUUUAGCCUGCAGUAGAAGAAGGUGGACACCAGAAACUUCACCCUGUGUUGGAGCUGUUCAUGCUUCCAUGAAGGCAUGGUGUCCAUGUUCGUGGAAGCUACCACAGAAAAUGGCUAAUGAAAAGGGGAAUCCGACCCAACACACAGCUUCGUAUGCACUGCCAUCUUAUCAACAGUUAGGCAGUACUUUGUAGAACGAUUAGCUUCACCAUCUUAGCUGCCAAGAGAUCCCUUCUUAAAGAUGGACUAUGUGAAGAUUCGGGAGUCCUGAAACAUGGGGACUCCGGGAUGGUCUCUAGCCCUGUUGAUGAUGAACGCUGGCCUUCUGGAGGGGAAAUGGCAGCCUGGGCUGGCAUGGUAGGAAGGGCUUUGGUGUUCAUGGAAUGGGCCUGCUGCUCUCAGACCUUCAAAGGAUGGAACCAACGAAGGACCAAAUGAGAAAGUAGAUGCUGUGCCUUGCAGAGGGCCAUGAAUGUCAAUUAUUAUUUUUCUCCUUAUAUAAUUAGUUUGUGGUUAUUAUUACAAUGUGCAUGGCUGUUGCAUAAAAGACAUGAUUGGUGGAGGCUGAGGAAAGCCACGCCAUUCUACAAUUGCCAUCAGGUUAAGGCCCCAUGAGCAUUUCUCUCCCUUGUAAUAUUAACCCUGUAUUUCUGGGAUCACAUCACAGAAUAUUCUUUGCCUUUCCACUUUCCAGGAAAUCUCUCAAACUGGGCUGCCCUCCUCGUAUGUGAUGAAAGAUGAGCUAUAUUUCAGAACAAAGUGCUGUGUUGUCAUAAUUUGCCUGAACUUCCAGGGCGUCUCUUACCCAACUUGAUAACGAUGCUGUUCAUUAGCAGCCUUUGUUAACUGAUAACCAAGAGUGGUAACGUGAUACUCAUAAGAAAUUUUCUGUGUGUAGGAUAAAAUAAACCAUCUUGUAUGGGAUCUUCUAAA